rnacentral:piRNA from 1 species
UUCUUGGUUCCACAAGCAGUAUUUAUCAAUA